CAAUAGCGUAUAUUAAAGUUGUUGCAGUUAAAAAGCUCGUAGUUGAACUUCAGACCUGGCUGGGCGGUCCGCCUAACGGUGUGUACUGUCUGGCUGGGUCUUACCUCUUGGUGAGCCGGUAUGCCCUUCACUGGGUGUAUCGGGGAACCAGGACUUUUACCUUGAGAAAAUUAGAGUGUUCAAAGCAGGCCUGCGCCUGAAUACGUUAGCAUGGAAUAAUAAAAUAGGACGUGCGGUUCUAUUUUGUUGGUUUCUAGAGUCGCCGUAAUGAUUAAUAGGGAUAGUUGGGGGCAUUAGUAUUCCGUUGCUAGAGGUGAAAUUCUUGGAUUUACGGAAGACUAACUACUGCGAAAGCAUUUGCCAAGGAUGUUUUCAUUGA
rnacentral:rRNA from 1 species